GCACCACAAGAACGCGUGGAGCAUGUGGCUUAAUUUGACUCAACGCGGGAAAUCUUACCGGGUCCGGACACACUGAGGAUUGACAGGCAAUAUCUCAUGGUUAUUAACCGGUUAUUUAUUUAAUCGGUUAUUAAGCAUCAGUGUUAAAUAUGCUAGUCCUUUCAUGAUUAUGUGAUAGGUGGUGCAUGGCCGUUCUUAGUUCGUGGAGUGAUCUGUCUGCUUAAUUGCGUUUCACUAAGGGCCCAUAAAUUCAAGGUAUGUUAGCUAUCGUCGCUCUAUGGACCCCUUAUACUCGAUUUCCUUUAAUUAGCGUUAUUUGUUUAA
rnacentral:rRNA from 1 species